GAUGAACGCUGGCGGCGUGCCUAACACAUGCAAGUCGAACGAAGCACCUUACCUGAUUCUUCGGAUGAAGGUUUGGUGACUGAGUGGCGGACGGGUGAGUAACGCGUGGGUAAACUGCCCUGUACAGGGGGAUAACAGCUCGAAACGGCUGCUAAUACCGCAUAAGCGCACGUGGAGACAUCUCCUUGUGUGAAUAACUCCGGUGGUACAGGAUGGGCCCGCGUCUGAUUAGCUGGUUGGCAGGGUAACGGCCUACCAAGGCAACGAUGAGUAGCUGGUCUGAGAGGAUGAUCGGCCACAUUGGAACUGAGACACGGUCCAAACUCCUACGGGAGGCAGCAGUGGGGAAUAUUGCACAAUGGGCGAAAGCCUGAUGCAGCAACGCCGCGUGAAUGAAGAAGGAUUUCGGUAUGUAAAGUGCUAUCAGAAGAGAAGAUUAUGACGGUACCUGACUAAGAAGCUACGGCUAAAUACGUG
rnacentral:rRNA from 1 species